UACGAAGGGGGCUAGCGUUGCUCGGAAUCACUGGGCGUAAAGGGUGCGUAGGCGGGUUUUUAAGUCAGGGGUGAAAUCCUGGAGCUCAACUCCAGAACUGCCUUUGAUACUGAGGAGCUUGAGUCCGGGAGAGGUGAGUGGAACUGCGAGUGUAGAGGUGAAAUUCGUAGAUAUUCGCAAGAACACCAGUGGCGAAGGCGGCUCACUGGCCCGGUACUGACGCUGAGGUGCGAAAGCGUGGGGAGCAAACGGG
rnacentral:rRNA from 1 species